rnacentral:tRNA from 1 species
UGUGGCUCAGUGGUAGAGCACUUGCCUAGCAGGUGAGAGGCACUGGGUUCGAUUCUCAGCA